ACUGUGAAAAAAUUAGAGUGUUUAAAGCAGGCUUAUGCCGUUGAAUACAUUAGCAUGGAAUAAUAAGAUAGGACCGCGUGGUCGUCUUGUUGGUUUGCACCGCGAGGUAAUGAUUAAUAGGUACAGUUGGGGGUAUUCGUAUUUAAUUGUCAGAGGUGAAAUUCUUGGAUUUAUGAAAGACGAACUUCUGCGAAAGCAUUUACCAAGGAUUUUUUUAUUAAUCAAGAACGAAAGUUAGGGGAUCGAAGAUGAUUAGAUACCAUCGUAGUCUUAACCAUAAACUAUGCCGACUAGGGAUUGGCGGUCGUUUCUUUUGACCCCGUCAGCACCUUAUGAGAAAUCAAAGUCUUUGGGUUCCGGGGGGAGUAUGGUCGCAAGGCUGAAACUUAAAGGAAUUGACGGAAGGGCACCACCAGGAGUGGAGCCUGCGGCUUAAUUUGACUCAACACGGGAAAACUUACCAGGUCCAGACAUAGUAAGGAUUGACAGAUUGAGAGCUCUUUCUUGAUUC
rnacentral:rRNA from 1 species